CACUUAUAUUAAACCAAGACCCUAAAAGAUAGGGUCUCUUAAUGCGCUCCUCUGUCCUCUCCUCUUAACCAUCUCUUUCUCCCCAUCAUUAAGGAUGUGUUCAUUUUCUCUUCUAAACUCUGGUCUCUGUCUUCUUCUGUUGUGGGUGAUAAAUCCUCUUCAUUGUCGGAGGAGCUGAUGCUUUUUGUUCAGCUUGCAAAGGCUGUCGGCUGGCUGGUGAAUGGUAGUUUUACCGGCUGGUGGUGCUGCCGGCGUUGGUGGAGAUGGCUACCGACAUUGGUGGAGAUGGCUGCCAGCUGGAGCAGCGACGGCUAGCGGCGGCUUAAUGGAGGAAGCUGGAGCAGUGAUGGAUGGCGGCGCUGGGAUUCCGUCGGCAGCUAGUGGGCAGUAAAAGGCUUCGUAGAUGGAAGUUGAGUAUUGUAUUUUCAUAUUUUAUUGACACAGUUUGUAUUAUAAAUUUUCCUUGAAUUUUUAGUUUAUCUUUCACAUAUUUUUAUCAU